rnacentral:rRNA from 1 species
GACGAACGCUGGCGGCGUGCCUAAUACAUGCAAGUAGAACGCUGAAACUUGGUGCUUGCACCGAGCGGAUGAGUUGCGAACGGGUGAGUAACGCGUAGGUAACCUGCCUGGUAGCGGGGGAUAACUAUUGGAAACGAUAGCUAAUACCGCAUAAGAGUAGAUGUUGCAUGACAUUUGCUUAAAAGGUGCAAUUGCACCACUACCAGAUGGACCUGCGUUGUAUUAGCUAGUUGGUGGGGUAACGGCUCACCAAGGCGACGAUACAUAGCCGACCUGAGAGGGUGAUCGGCCACACUGGGACUGAGACACGGCCCAGACUCCUACGGGAGGCAGCAGUAGGGAAUCUUCGGCAAUGGACGGAAGUCUGACCGAGCAACGCCGCGUGAGUGAAGAAGGUUUUCGGAUCGUAAAGCUCGGUUGUAAGAGAAGAAAGAGUGUGAGAGUGGAAAGUUCACACUGUGACGGUAUCUUACCAGAAAGGGACGGCUAACUACGUG